UGAAUGCUGAACAGCCAAAGAGGUGGACUGACUACUUUUUAAUCGAUUACUUUCAAGUUUAAACCUUUCCUCCCAUAUUCUACUUUGUGAUUCAUAGGAUAUGUCUUAUAAAUCACAUUUCUCCCUUGAAAGUGGCUCCUUGUUAGGCCUUACCAAGAAAGGGCACUAGUAGUAGCUUGCAAGCCUAGAGGAAGACACUAAUUUUUCAUAUGUACUUCCUUUAGUCUUCCUGUUUGUAUCCUUUCUGUUUGCAGUUCCUUUGAGUGUCACGGGAGUACCAUCUCUUUACCUUGGCAAGAGCAGAUCCUUCAUAUCUGUAGUUGAAUCACACACUCUCAGAUAUCUGAGCUUGAAUUCUACAGGGACACUUAUCUCAGCUUUUGAGUUUUAGGAGAAAUAGCCUGCAGACCAGAGAAUAAGGAAAAGUUGUUUCCUGCCAAAGAACAAGCAGUAUUGUGAAAUAUAAAAUUUUAUUGUUGCGGUGAAAGAAAAUUUCAGUAUCAAAUUUUUGAAAACACCAUGUAAGAGAUGCCUGCUUUCCCUUCACCUUCCGGCAUGAUUGUAAGUUUCCUGAGGCCUCUCCAGACAUGCUUCCUGUACAGCCUGUAGAACUAUUCUGACACCUCCACUUCACACAAAACACUCCACUUUAGAGUUCCUUGGCCCCUUAAAGUAAGUUUUACAAGUCAAACCUUGAACCAGCAUGAAAAUAGCUUUAUCUCAUGUGUGGUCCACACUAGGUCCUUGGUAAAUAUUCAGUCUCAUCUCAUUUUCCUACAGUUCCGAGUAUAGCUACUUUCUAGAUACAGCAACACCCUAUCUUAGCUUUUCCUUCCACCUUAUCUUAGCUUUUCCUUCCAGGCAACUUGACAGAAUAUCUCUCUUGCCCUCCUCAUUCCUUGAGAUGGAAGUCAGACCCAGGUCACUGCAUUCCCCUAGAUACAAGGAAUCUAUAUCAAAUUAUCUCAGUGUACCAACAAGGCUUGAGUAGAGGGUUAGAUACUUCCCACCUUGUACCCCUAGGGUUAAAGAAGUAGAACUUAAAUCACAACUUUGCCCUUAAAAUACAUUGUAAAAAUUUCUCUCUUUUCACAAGCUUAUGACUCCUUGCUGUUCUGGAUAUGAAUGAAAGACUGAAAAGUUGUGAAAACAGUCACUAUUUAUGUGUAACUUUUUUUCACUUUGGAAUUUUAGUUUGUUUUAUCAUGAUGCUUCAGAUAAAACUCUCAUUUUAUUGCUUUAUCUAUACAUUUUACUUCCUUGUCCCAGGCCUAUCUUAAAUUCAAUAUCUCAUUUAGGUCUCAUAAUAAUUCCAUGGUGAAUAUUCUCACAAAUCCAAGGUGAAUAUUUCCUAAUUAUUUCCAUUUUAUAACUGAAGAAAUUGAGGAGUAGACAGAUCAAUUCACUUGCCUAAAGCCAAAGGUAGUAAGUGGUGCAGAGAUUAAGAUCAACAUUGUUUGCACCUUUCAUGAGUAUGUGCUCUAAUCCACUGCUCUAUGCUAUAUACUGCUAUCAUAUAAACCAAAGAACGUGUGGAACUCCAUGGCUGAAAUUACGACUAGUCACAACAAGUUUUUCUUUGUUUUAUGGAAGAAGCACAGGUGCACAAAAGUUCUGAACUAGGACAAGAAAAAU
rnacentral:lncRNA from 1 species